rnacentral:rRNA from 1 species
ACUCCUACGGGAGGCAGCAGUGGGGAAUCUUAGACAAUGGGCGCAAGCCUGAUCUAGCCAUGCCGCGUGAGUGAUGAAGGCCUUAGGGUCGUAAAAGCUCUUUCGCCAGGGAUGAUAAUGACAGUACCUGGUAAAGAAACCCCGGCUAACUCCGUGCCAGCAGCCGCGGUAAUACGGAGGGGGUUAGCGUUGUUCGGAAUUACUGGGGCGUAAAGCGUACGUAGGCGGAUUAGUCAGUUAGAGGUGAAAUCCCAGGGCUCAACCCUGGAACUGCCUUUAAUACUGCUAGUCUUGAGUUCGAGAGAGGUGAGUGGAAUUCCGAGUGUAGAGGUGAAAUUCGUAGAUAUUCGGAGGAAUACCAGUGGCGAAGGCGGCCCCCUGGACAAAGACUGACGCUCAGAUGCGAAAGCGUGGGGAGCAAACAGGAUUAGAUACCCUGGUAGGCUCUGC